GACGAACGCUGGCGGCGUGCUUAACACAUGCAAGUCGAACGGAAAGGCCCUGCUUUUGCGGGGUGCUCGAGUGGCGAACGGGUGAGUAACACGUGAGUAACCUGCCCCUGUCUUUGGGAUAACUUCAGGAAACUGGGGCGAAUACCGGAUAGGAGCUCCUGCUGCAUGGGGGGGGUUGGAAAGUUUCGGCGGUUGGGGCUGGACUCGCGGGUUAUGAGCUUGUUGGUGGGGUAGUGGCUUACCAAGGCUUUGACGGGUAGCCGGCCUGGGAGGGUGACCGGCCACAUUGGGCCUGCGAUACGGCCCAGACUCCUACGGGAGGCAGCAGUGGGGAAUAUUGCACAAUGGGCGGACGCCUGAUGCAGCAACGCCGCGUGCGGGAUGACGGCCUUCGGGUUGUAAACCGCUUUCGCCUGUGCCGAAGCGUGAGUGACGGUAAUGGGUAAAGAAGCACCGGCUAACUACGUG
rnacentral:rRNA from 1 species